ensembl:snRNA U6 U6 spliceosomal RNA
UAGCACAACGUGUAGGAGACUUAAAAUUGGAACAAUACAGAGAAAAUUAGCAUGGCCCCUACACUAAGAUGACAUGUAAAUUUGUGAAGCAUUCCAAAGCAAA